GAGGGUGGGGUUGGGGCGUCGGGGCGCGGACCGCUGCGAUUCCACUUGGGGGUGAAACCCAUUCCCGGAAAGUUCUGGGUAAAGUUUGCUAGAUGGAUGGAGCUGGUCGGCAGGACGCGGUCCCGAGGUCGGACCGCAAGAGGUAAGCCGAGAGGUGGAGGGAAGAGGAUUCGGGGUGUCACCACUGGAUUAUUUUUCCCAUGAAAGAGGAGGUAAGAUUUUUUUAAAAUUGAGAGUGAGGGGAGACAAGAGCAGUUUGAGGGGCUUUGAGCAGCUUUUAAGCUGCUUUGUGGAGGAGGAACUAGGGAAAGACACGUGGCGGGCUCGGUAAGGUGGGAAGCUGUCUGACUGCAGGCAGCGCCAUCUUUCUCCCCAGCCCCUUCCUGAGGGAAUGAAGGCGGGCGGCGCGGGAGCGCGGUCUUGCUGAGGAAAGUGUGC
rnacentral:lncRNA from 1 species